rnacentral:RNase_P_RNA from 1 species
AGAUAGCCAGACGGUUGCGGUGGGGUAACCCAACGAGGAAAGUCCGAGCACCACAGGGCAGAGCGCCGGAGAAAUCCCGGUGAAGGUGACUUUAAGGAAAGUGCAACAGAAAUAAACCGCCUUCCGUUUAACGGUCGGUAAGGGUGGAAAUGCGGAGUAAGAGCCCACAAACGCUAUGGUAACACAGCGUUCAUGUAAACCCCGCUCGGUGCAAGAAAUGAGAUCAAACGUUUGCCCGACGUCUCGAUAUGUCGCUGGAGCCUUGCGGAGACGUAAGGCGUAGAUAGAUAACCGUCAAAUACAGAACUCGGCUUACAGACUAUCUCA